AAGUUUGAUGGCGACCGGCGCACGGGUGAGUAACACGUAUCCAACCUGCCGAUGACUCGGGGAUAGCCUUUCGAAAGAAAGAUUAAUACCCGAUGGCAUAGUUCUUCCGCAUGGUGGAACUAUUAAAGAAUUUCGGUCAUCGAUGGGGACGCGUUCCAUUAGGUUGUUGGCGGGUAACGGCCCACCAAGCCUUCGAUGGAUAGGGGUUCUGAGAGGAAGGUCCCCCACAUUGGAACUGAGACACGGUCCAAACUCCUACGGGAGGCAGCAUG
rnacentral:rRNA from 1 species